GUGGUGGCUCAGAGGUACAGCACUCGGCUAGCAUGCGUGAGGCACUGGGUUCGAUCCUCAGCACCACA
rnacentral:tRNA from 1 species